UACGGGGGGGGCAAGCGUUGUUCGGAAUUACUGGGCGUAAAGGGCGCGUAGGUGGCCAACUAAGUCAGACGUGAAAUCCCUCGGCUUAACCGGGGAACUGCGUCUGAUACUGGAUGGCUUGAGGUUGGGAGAGGGAUGCGGAAUUCCAGGUGUAGCGGUGAAAUGCGUAGAUAUCUGGAGGAACACCGGUGGCGAAGGCGGCAUCCUGGACCAAUUCUGACACUGAGGAGCGAAAGCCAGGGGAGCAAACGGG
rnacentral:rRNA from 1 species